rfam:Drosophila willistoni strain TSC#14030-0811.24 scf2_1100000004590 genomic scaffold, whole genome shotgun sequence.
AAAAGGCAUGUGAAAUGUUGCAAAAAAAAAAAAAAAAAGGGUAACGUUUUACGCGCCUUAA